rnacentral:rRNA from 1 species
CCCUANGAGUUGAUUCCUGGCUCAGAUUGAACGCUGGCGGCAGGCCUAACACAUGCAAGUCGAACGGUAACAGGAAGCAGCUUGCUGCUUUGCUGACGAGUGGCGGACGGGUGAGUAAUGUCUGGGAAACUGCCUGAUGGAGGGGGAUAACUACUGGAAACGGUAGCUAAUACCGCAUAACGUCGCAAGACCAAAGAGGGGGACCUUCGGGCCUCUUGCCAUCGGAUGUGCCCAGAUGGGAUUAGCUAGUAGGUGGGGUAACGGCUCACCUAGGCGACGAUCCCUAGCUGGUCUGAGAGGAUGACCAGCCACACUGGAACUGAGACACGGUCCAGACUCCUACGGGAGGCAGCAGUGGGGAAUAUUGCACAAUGGGCGCAAGCCUGAUGCAGCCAUGCCGCGUGUAUGAAGAAGGCCUUCGGGUUGUAAAGUACUUUCAGCGGGGAGGAAGGCGAUAAGGUUAAUAACCUUGUCGAUUGACGUACNCCGCAGAAGAAGCACCGGCAACUC